GACAGAGUCUCACUUUAUUGCCCUCAGUAGAGUGCCAUGAUGUCACAGCUUACAGCAACCUCCAACUACUGGACAUAAGCGAUUCUCCUGCCUCAGACUCCUGAUCAGCUUGGACUACAGGCGCCCGCCACAACACCCAGCCAUUUUUAUGUUGCAGUUUGGCGGGUGCCGGGUUCCAACCCACCACCCUCGGUAUAUGGGGCUGGCCUCCUACCCAGCGAGCCCCAGGCGGCCCCCAGGACUAUAUACAUCUGAACAAUACUGAGUCUUCCAAAUCACAAAGAUGACAUGUCUCAAUUUAGAUUUCCUUUAAUUUCUCUCAUACCAUCUGUGGUUAAUGUGCAGGAAGGAAGUAAUGAAGCCCAUCUCAGAGCAUGGCUUUGAGGAUUUAAAGAGAAAAGCAACCUACAGGCAUGCGGGAGUUAAUAAGUCCUCCAGAAAUUUAACUACAUCAUUCCAACUUUGCUUCCUUCAUUGUGUCAAUGUGAUGCCUCUGACAUUAACGUAAUAGUAUGACUACCAGGAAAAAUAAUUGGAGAUGCAACAGCAAGCAAAGAGAAGCCCACAUUUACAUUAUGUAUUGGCUGAUGAAUAGGAUUGAGUUGUAUUUACCUGGAUGGAGUUGAAGAACAUUCUCCUUAGUAAAGUAUCACAAGAAUGGAAAAUCAAUUAACUGAUAUACUCAAUACUAAUAUGAAACCCACAGAUGAUCAACAACACGCCCACAGAUACCCAGUAGUGGGAUUGCAGGAUGCUGGUAUGGAUGCACAGAGAACAGACCGCUUAUACAGUGUUGGUGAAACUACAAAUUAAUAUAACUUCUAUGGAAAACUGUAUGGAGAUUCCUCAAAGAACUAAACACAGACUUACCAUUCUAUCCCCUGGAGCUUUUAACUCUCAGAAUUAUCUACA